rnacentral:rRNA from 1 species
CGAGCGGUAUGGAUAGCUUGCUAUCCAGAGAGCGGCGUACGGGUGCGUAACACGUGUGCAACCUGCCUUUAUCUGGGGGAUAGCCUUUCGAAAGGAAGAUUAAUACCCCAUAAUAUGGUGUCCGGCAUCGGUCGCCAUUGAAAGCCUCGGCGGAUAGAGAUGGGCACGCGCAAGAUUAGAUAGUUGGCGGGGUAACGGCCCACCAAGUCGAUGAUCUUUAGGGGUCCUGAGAGGGAGAUCCCCCACACUGGUACUGAGACACGGACCAGACUCCUACGGGAGGCAGCAGUGAGGAAUAUUGGACAAUGGGUGGAAGCCUGAUCCAGCCAUCCCGCGUGAAGGAUGACGGUUCUAUGGAUUGUAAACUUCUUUUGUACAGGGAUAAACCUGCCCUCGUGAGGGCAGCUGAAGGUACUGUACGAAUAAGCACCGGCUAACUCCGUGCCAGCAGCCGCGGUAAUACGGAGGGUGCGAGCGUUAUCCGGAUUUAUUGGGUUUAAAGGGUCCGUAGGCGGGCCUGUAAGUCAGUGGUGAAAUCUCAUAGCUUAACUAUGAAACUGCCAUUGAUACUGCAGGCCUUGAGUAAAUUUGAAGUGGCUGGAAUAAGUAGUGUAGCGGUGAAAUGCAUAGAUAUUACUUAGAACACCGAUUGCGAAGGCAGGUCACUGAGAUUUAACUGACGCUGAUGGACGAAAGCGUGGGGAGCGAACAGGAUUAGAUACCCUGGUAGUCCACGCCGUAAACGAUGCUAACUCGUUUUUGGAUCUUCGGGUUCAGAGACCAAGCGAAAGUGAUAAGUUAGCCACCUGGGGAGUACGUCCGCAAGGAUGAAACUCAAAGGAAUUGACGGGGGCCCGCACAAGCGGUGGAUUAUGUGGUUUAAUUCGAUGAUACGCGAGGAACCUUACCAAGACUUAAAUGGGAAUUGACAGAUUUAGAAAUAGAUCCUCCUUCGGGCAAUUUUCAAGGUGCUGCAUGGUUGUCGUCAGCUCGUGCCGUGAGGUGUUAGGUUAAGUCCUGCAACGAGCGCAACCCCUGCCAACAGUUGCCAUCAUUCAGUUGGGGACUCUGUUGGGACUGCCUACGCAAGUAGAGAGGAAGGUGGGGAUGACGUCAAAUCAUCACGGCCCUUACGUCUUGGGCCACACACGUAAUACAAUGGCCGGUACAGAGGGCAGCUACCUGGUGACAGGAUGCGAAUCUCGAAAGCCGGUCUCAGUUCGGAUUGGAGUCUGCAACUCGACUCUAUGAAGCUGGAAUCGCUAGUAAUCGCGCAUCAGCCAUGGCGCGGUGAAUACGUUCCCGGGCCUUGUACACACCGCCCGUCAAGCCAUGGAAGUCUGGGGUACCUGAAGUCGGUGACCGU